rnacentral:rRNA from 1 species
UACGUAGGGGGCAAGCGUUGUCCGGAUUUAUUGGGCGUAAAGAGCGUGUAGGCGGCCAUACAGGUCAGCUGUGAAAACUCGAGGCUCAACCUCGAGACGUCGGUUGAAACCGUAUGGCUAGAGUCCGGAAGAGGAGAGUGGAAUUCCCGGUGUAGCGGUGAAAUGCGCAGAUAUCGGAAGGAACACCAGUGGCGAAAGCGGCUUCCUGGUCCAGCACCGACGUUCAGGCACGAAAGCGUGGGGAGCAAACAGG